GACGAACGCUGGCGGCGUGCCUAAUACAUGCAAGUCGAACGCUUCUUUCCUCCCGAGUGCUUGCACUCAAUUGGAAAGAGGAGUGGCGGACGGGUGAGUAACACGUGGGUAACCUACCCAUCAGAGGGGGAUAACACUUGGAAACAGGUGCUAAUACCGCAUAACAGUUUACGCCGCAUGGCAUAAGAGUGAAAGGCGCUUUCGGGGGUCGCUGAUGGAUGGACCCGCGGUGCAUUAGCUAGUUGGUGAGGUAACGGCUCACCAAGGCCACGAUGCAUAGCCGACCUGAGAGGGUGAUCGGCCACACUGGGACUGAGACACGGCCCAGACUCCUACGGGAGGCAGCAGUAGGGAAUCUUCGGCAAUGGACGAAAGUCUGACCGAGCAACGCCGCGUGAGUGAAGAAGGUUUUCGGAUCGUAAAACUCUGUUGUUAGAGAAGAACAAGGACGUUAGUAACUGAACGUCCCCUGACGGUAUCUAACCAGAAAGCCACGGCUAACUACGUG
rnacentral:rRNA from 1 species